GCCAGCCUCCCAGCAUGGUGCUUGGGGACACUCUGGUGCUUGAGCUGCAAUCAUUUAGAUCAGAGAAAACCAAAGCCCUGAACAGUUGCGGUCACUUGAGAUCAGAUGGAAAAAAACAGAGAUAUUAUGCCAGUAUCCUCAGCAAACUCAAAAGAAGACAAGAAUUGCACUAGGCCAGAUCUGCUCGCACUCUGCCAGGAAUCUUGGGGAGUGUGUCUGCACGUGAGACUUCCUGGAAUACCACAAAGUGAGCGGGAAAUUGGGACCCACUUCUAACAUGGAAAAAAAUUACAGAGGAAAACAGAAAGCUAUUUUUGGCACGCUGAAUUCAGUAGAUGAAAAGCUGAGAUAAUCCUAUAGGAACUGUUUUGGAUCUUGAACAAGUCUAAUGGGGAGUGAAUAGGCAGCUUCAAGGGUCCUGACAAAGUGUGCAAGUGACAAAUGAAAGGAAGAUGUUCAUUUAUACACACUAUGUGUGAUCUUCUCUAGGGCUGGGGUAUGAAUUUUGCUCUUGACCACAGUCUUCCUUCUACUUUUGUUAAGCAAAUGCUACCAAGAUUACAUUAGGAAACCUCACUCAACAAUGCAGGUACAGUAAAAGAAAAAUGAAAAUGAAAACAAAAAAAAACUCAGGAGAGAAAAAAAAAAAAAUACCAACAAACAUGACAGAACCGCUUUGUUUCCCAAAUUAUCAUCAGGCUGUCCAGACAUGGAGAAGCAGUGAACAGCUAUCACAGUGUGGAUAAUAUAGAGAAGUGCUUCCAGGAACAAUGGGAGCAGCCUCCCGUAUGCAGAAUGGGAGCUGUCAGUGGGAAUUAGUGUCCCACAGAUCCUCCCCAUCUCCCAGUGACGGAUCCAGAAGGUGUGCUUGUGGGGUCAGGUGGGAAGGCAAAGCACUGAAGGUUGCAACACAUCCAGUGUAUAGAGAGUAUUAUCAAAUUACUUUGUCAUCUUUAACAGCCCUGCAGGGACUGCAGUGGAAUCUCAGUCCUUUUUUUAAUGAAUGGAAGUUUUACCCCGAAUAGUAAGAGCAAGAUAAAUACUUUUAGCUGUUUUACUUAGCUCAUUUUUUCUUUUCCUCCCUUUUUUUUUUUCCUUUAAUUUUAAAUAAUUACUGUUUUAAAGCCAGCCAAGGCACAUAGGGUUAAAGAUGUAAAAUCUCAGCAUGGUGCAAUAAAGCUGAUACUGAAAUAGUGUAUCCCUACUGUAGGAGGAAUCUGCAAUCAGGACUUCCAAGCACAUGCAAAAAAUAACUCUUGGAUCAGUCUUCUUGUCUUCCAGUAGACUUGGCAAGAAAGGCAAGCCAUAUGUGAAGCCAGCCAUAUAUCAGUUAUGUGGUCUUAGAUAUUUGCAAUAAAACAAAGGACUUUGCUGUCAGCCCUUCCUGAUUUCAUGAAGCCUUUACAGCUCACAGUAAUGUCUCUUUAUCAAAACCCACAAAGUUAUCCUUAGACAUGUGCAUUUCUUAGGGAAAAUAUUCUCUGAAAUAGCUAUUUAUGAUUAAAUCCAUCAGGGAAAGGGGAAGACAUGAAAGGACUUAAUACAGCCAGUUUCAGCCAUGCUGAAUGCAUCUAGGAAUGACAAACGAGUGUAAAAACAAUUAAAAAUAAAAUAAGUAAGACCGGGGGAAGGGAAAAGGGUAGAAGAAUUAAAAUAGACAUACACAAAACAAUACGAUCAAGAAUGAAAUCUUUGUGACAGUGAUGUGGAUGCCCUGGUAAAUUAAGUGGAACUAAAACUUCACACCAGAAUUGCUCCUGGCCAUUUAUUUAGGCAGUAUUAGCCAGCAGUUUCAUGCAGGGAUCGUGCUAGGAGUGGGUUCAAGGAAAAAAAUUUGUAAGGGUGUUUUUCCCAGCCAAUGUGAGGUGGAUGGUCUGCACACAGGGAACAAGAAAGAUGGCUGAGAAUAGUUCAGAGUGAGCCACGAAGAGAGGUCAGGAGCUAAUGAAAAGUUAGCCCCCGGACCUGCAAAACCACGGGGAUGUGAACAGCCCUAUGCGUGUGAUUGCUCAGUUAUGUGAAGUUCACUGCGUGCUCAAGCUCAGGGUAAGAACUUGUUUGAUUUGAUGUAGUAGUGAGAGGAGUCAGGGGCGGGAUUUGAAAAGUGACGUGAUUGCAGCAGUGCUUUUCUGAAACAACUUUACAGAAAAAAUUCGGAGAGUGCAUUCCUUACAAAACUGAUAAGGUGUUACUAUAGAACUGCAGUAAUGACUUUGGCAAACAGUUUGUGCAAAUUUCUAGACUAUAAUUGCAAAUGUGGAUUUUUAAUCAAAUAUUAUUAACUAUUACAUAAUGAAAAGAAAUAAAAUCCCAAUAGACAGAUUAGCAUUUUUACUCUCUUUAAAAAACCUUUUUUACAAUGUUCCUUUGAGCCAUAUCCUAAGUUUUAAAAGCAUUUGGGUUUUCUAGAUCAGAUUCUGCAAGGCUCUUGGGCUAACUUUAAGUAUGUGAUUUGUCUAAUUGGAAUUAGCAGCUUGCAACCACGUAUGUUCCUAUGGAUCUUGCCAUGUCAUGCAGGUUUUCUUUUUCUUUUUUUUUUCCUACCUUAAAACCCAAUCAAACAAACAAAAACCAUAGUUAAAAUCGACUCCUGUCCCACCUCUUUUUGUUUAUUUAUUUAUUUUAAAUUCCCCUAUGUUAAAUCUUCACAAAAUCUUUCUUAUCACCUCGUGGAUUAAUUGCCAGUGAAAUAUUUGCUUUGGAAUGAGUAUCUCUUACUAAUGUGUCCUGCUCAGUGUUUAUGACUUAUAACUAUUCAGGGCAACAUACUAUAUUAUACAAAUAUUUGAAGCAAUCACAAGGGGGGCAAUGCUUUAACAUAAUCCUUCACUCACAAGUUGCCCUUGCAGCCCUUUUCAGUUACUUUUCAUUAUUUCACCACAGGGGAACAGUCUCAAUAAAUUAUUGUAUUAACAAUUACAUUAAAAAUGAGCCCUGGAACCCCUUUCUCUACCCCAGUAAAUGUCAUUUAACAGUUUUUGGUGUGGAAAUAUGCAACAGAUAAGUCAAGUGGGUUUUUCUUCUACUUCUUACAGAGGUAUGAAAAUAUCAGUAGAUGCUCAGAUCUCCGCUACUCAAAACAUUACGGGUCAGAUCCGAGCAGAGUGGAGAGGUCAGUGCUCCAUCAUCACAGCUUUAUAUCAUUAUGGGCUUUAGGGCAUAAUAGCCUGCAAGGAUGCUUGGUUAAAAGAUGGGAAGGAAACCUGAAAAAGGUUAAUUACGGCACGCACAGCACUUGACAGUUCCUUUUCAAUCUGAUUCAGCUCAGCUGUGAAUGCCACUGUGUCUUCUGCACAAAGAUCCCGCUCGCUGCUAUGCCACUUGCUGUCACCCCAAGGCAGUUGCGUGGUUUGCCCACAAGGACAGAUCCCAACCCCAAACACUGCAUGUUUUCCAAAGGGUGCACCUGCUUUGCUGUGGAUUUGGUGCUUAGAGCUUGCUGUCUGAAGCCUUAACACCCAGAAACUUGUUUUGACAGUUUGGGUUAUGUUCGUUAGGGAAUCCAAGGAGGGAAUAUCUCUGGAGGGGGCAGGGAGGAGAGGGAAAGAAGCACAAACAAAACAAAAACUUAAGCCUGUGACUAAUUGGCUGAAAGGAUGUGAGCAAUUCGGCUCCACUUAAUUGAAUGUGGGCUCAAAUUAAAAAGAAAGAGUAAUUGCCUUCAAAACUUUGCAUUGUAGAUUGCUGGUGAAAGGCUUAGAAGGUGAAAGCCUUAAAGCACAUGUGUCAGUGAUGUUGUUGACAGGAACCCAAAUAUCCUGUUAUAUGCAUCUGCAUUCAGAGGACUUCAUUCUAGAAGGGAUUAGCCUACAUUAUAUUGAUGGUUUUAUUUACAAGAUGAAUUUUCAUUAAAAAGGUACCCUGAUUUUUGCUAGAAAUUUCAGAAUGUGACCAUGCCUUCUAACUGCUAGCUGCCUUCUAAACAUUUCCUGAUCAGAGAACCUGAAAAUAGCUCUUCAGAUUUCAAAGUAAAUAUAAAGAAUCUCUGCAUUUGGUUACAAAUCCGCAUAUUCUUAUUCAUUUGUUCCUUCAAAUUUAGGGAGAACUUCAUCUGAGCAAAGGGAUAGUUGUGUUAAACACGAAUAACCAGGGAGUAGGGAGUCAAGGAAUUUACCUUGAAAGUACAAAUCUGAGUUAUGAGACCUUUUUAAAUAAAAAUCAGGAAUUAACUCAUGCGGUCUGUACAUUGCCAUUUAUUCUUUACAUCAAAGCUGCAUCCACAAGUUCUAGCCCCAUUGUGCUGUGCACAAAGACACAGAACAAAAGAAAUGUCCUACCUCUCAAAAUAAUUCUCUGCAAGAGUAACAAAGACCCUUUGUUUGCUAUUUAAGCAAGAUUGGUGGACAUCAUCUUUAAGAAGAAGCUCUGAGAAUCAACCUUUUCUGUCCUUUUCCAAAUAUGCAUAUGCACAUUUUUUGUGAGUCUGCUACAGUAAAAAGGCUCCUAAAGGAAAGAAUGGAGCAGAGCAAAAGGAAAAUAUUACUUUAUAUUAAUAACAAAUGGAGUGCACAACGCAUUCCACAUACAAAGGUUACCCAUCUACAGAGAUGGAAGCCAAGGGCAUUUUAAAACUUAAAGAUCCUUUAAAUAAACAUAUUGGUUUAAGUAGGAAGCAAAUAUUCUUAGCUCAGCAGGUAGUUGGUAUCUAAAUCACAUUCAGACUUCACAUAAAUACACAUGUCAAAGCAUUUAUCUAGUAAUAAAAAAAACAACUCUUAAGGAAUGCAGUUCAGAUAGGGAAGUGUCAGGUAUUUUGCACAUUUCCUAUUUCCAGCUCAUUAGUUUCAGCUUUUGACAGGGGUGGAGCUGAAAGAGGGGGUCAGAAAUCCUGUGGAGGUUUUUCUCUCCUCCCAAUUUCACAUGAAUAAACAGAGGGAGGGAGUCCCCUGCCUGUCUGCCAGGCUCUUAUCUAUCAUAUUUAGAUGCUAGAUGCUGUCAGAUACUAGAUAGCAAUGCCUGUAGGUAUUGCCAGUUACUGGGAAAUUAAACCUGGAACAGAAGAUACUCCUUUUCAUUCCCAAACUGACCUUAUGAUAUGAGUAGGUUUCAACAUCCUUCGAAAAACACUGAUGUCCAGACAAAGGUGGCAUUAUUAUAUUUUCAUCAUUUGCUACUCACACCUGAUUAUUAUUAUUUUUUUUCUCAUGUUGUCCACAAGUCUCUUACCAGCACCUUAUCUGUACCUUUUCUUUUGCCUACAUUAAUGUGUUCCUCUCAAAUCCAGGUUCUCUCACUCCGGAAGUUGUAGGUUUAGUACUGCACUGCUGGUUUUAAUUUGAACUUUCCUGAGUAUUAGGGAUUAUCAGAAAUACCUUGUUUUCAAAAAUAAAAUAGAAAGUGAAAAAAUAUACCUAGUUUUCCUUUAUUUCCCUAAAAAACAUUUCAGAAAAUGACAAUGCUUCCCUAGAGAGCGUUACUGUAAGAGGGACUUCGAUCUAAUUCUUGAAAUAUGUGCCUAUGAUCACUAACAGUCAAGUUAGCAAUUACCACCCUUGUGCAAGAAGAUACACACUGUAAGCCAAGAUAAGAUAUCCACACAAGCACACUGUCCCUACUAGCAGUAGAACAAACCUAGCCAGCACAAACUGCAAUAUAAAAGCUUUCAUGCAUUCAGCUGCUCUUUCAUCUGAAGGCUGAUAAAUUCCAGCUGAUGGAAGUUAACUUCUUAAGACACUGUUGGAGCAUCCCUUGGUUUGUUGUUGGUAGGAUAUAAAUUAAUAUUGAUAUUUAAGGUACUUUGUUUACAGAGAGGAAAGCCAACAAUAUGGCCUAACUUUUGACUGAGUGAGGUCUCAGAGGUUACUUUGCACUGGCAUGAUCAUCCACACCUUUGGAUUACUUUUUGAAAAAUCUUUGUGGAUCAUGAGAUGCUUCUACUGUGAUAUGAAAAGAAAAUGACUGGCUUUGAUUUGAUGGUCAGGUGGAAUUUCAGUUUGGUUCCUAUCACCUCUCAGACUUGCUUAGAUGAUUCUGUUCCUAAAGUCUGUAUGGGUGUCAGGAAGAACAAUUAUGACUUGUUUUAAAGCUGUUCUGUUAGGGUCACAGGUGAAGUAAAAGACCCAUAACAUUUACCAAUAAUCAUUAGGACAGAGCAUAAGUAUUCACUUUGAAUUAACUUGUAAGCUAGAAGCAUUAACAAAGGCUGCAGGAAGUAUAAUUCUGGGAGGCUCAAAUCUGAAAUUUAUUUUGUCGCACUGUCAUAAAGGGGGUGCAACUUCUUUAAUGGAUUUGAGCCGUUACUAAAUGCAGUAGAGAACCAUAGGAUUCAGUGGACUUCACACAGCCAGGAGUUCAGAGUCUGCCCACUGUGGCUGGUGAGCUAUUUCAGAUGUCUGUUUCUAGCAGAAAUAGACCCGAAAGUGGGUUUACUCUCAAAGAAGAAAAAAGUAGGGUGAUGUAAAUUUCUCUUAAUUUGAGACUACAUUAUGGCCUGCUGCUGCUCAGUCAAAGAAGAUCAAAAAAAAAAAAAAAAAAAAAAAAUAGUUGCCUUUCUUGCUCUGAGUUUCUAACUGUCCUGCUCAGAUUGUGAAGCUAACAGUAGCUAAUAAAGGAGUAAGUGAACCAAACAUGAAUAACAUUUAGUUUAAAACCUAUCAGAUGGCAGAUGGGCCAUGUCUCAUAGGUGUCGUGGAGACAGUUCAGUGGAGAAGAUGCUGACCUAAUGGUGGCAAGAAUAUACUCCUGCCACUGCUGAUCAUUUUUCAUGGAUUCCCAGUUGGUUGUUUGAUAUGCAACUCCAAAAUUUAUUGUUUUUCUCCUUUUUCUUUCCUUUCUGUCAGCCAAUAAAGAGAAACCAUAACAUCAGCAGUGUUUGAAAACAUAUUUAUGUUUGUUUCCCCUAUAAAAAGAGAUAAUAAUGUUAUGUUCCAAUAAUAUUAAGUUGCAAUGUUAUUUGCAAGAUUGCAGAGCUUUUAAUUUUCUGAUUAUUUCCACAGUGGGAGUUUCAGCUCAAUUUCUACUAAGACAUUUCUAUCUGUUUUGGUUAUUUUUUUAUUACAGCUAGAAGCAACAAUAAUUGCCUUUAGUGUAUGAAAACAUGACUGAGGAGACAAUUGUCGUCCCUAAAGACUAAAAUCAUCAGCAUACAUUUUUGAUGUAAAAUUUUUGUAAAUUAAUUGCAAGGUCCUAUAAAUAUUAUAUUUACUAAAAUUGUGUUGUCUGCUGUCUUCAAAGAAAUAAUCUUUUCCUUUUUCUUUCUCUCUCUUUUUUUUUUUAACUAUGUUUCGUAUGCAGUACAUUUCCUGAGGCAGAAAACAAAAACAUGGAACAAAAUAUUAGCCUUUUACUUUUGUAGUUUUACAUUCUACUAUUUCUCUUUUUGAACUCUGGGGUUUCUUUUUAAUAUAGAGAAAAAGAUCAGUAACACUGUCAUUAAUCAUAACCAAUUUUCAGUUUCUCACUGUUCAGUUGAUCAAAAAAUUGAAUAUCCAUCCCAAAUAAUAAGGCAGUAUUCUUGCAUUUGAUUUUCUCACAGACCAGGAAAAUAAAUUCAAAAUGUCAAACGUUUUGUAGAAUAUCUUUUUCUGCAAUUCCUAUUCAGAAACAAUAAAAUGAAAUCUUUUAGAUGUCUCAUAAUGAAAGUGCUCCCACCCAGUUACAUCCUGGGAGAAAUUAUCUAUCACGACUUAUAAAGGAAAUAUCGUCUGCAACCACCCAUAGAGGAACCUGACAGACUGUCAAAGACCUGGAACUACAGUUGUCAAAAGUCCCUGAGAUAACUUGGGUAGAUGCCAAGAUUAAUAAGCCUAAUUAAAAUUACACUACUUUAUUUCCAUUUUUUCCUUGUAGAAUAAUAAACCACAGUCAGCCUAGAUUUUGUUUUUUAAAGAUCUAUUUUUUUACCUGGCUGUGUUAACAUCUCUCCAGUUGCAUUAUCUCACAGUCUGGUAUGUCCUGUGCAACCCAGAUGUAUAGUUGUUUCACAAGAUUUAUGAGUACAUGGCAAAGUUCUCAAGACAAACAGAUUAUGUCCUUUCCGAAUAGCUGUGUUUGACUGCAGGAGCUACAGAGUAUUUUGGAUAAAUGUGCUCAGCAGGCCUUUCUUUGAAGGAGACAGAUAGUGUAACAGCUAAUAUCAAGAACAGUGAUUAGCACCAAUAGAUUUUAGCAGAUUUACUCCAGUCAUAAUGGUAGCCCUUAAACUUGAGGAGGCAGUGCACUGGACUUACAUUAACUCUAGCAAAUUUGCUCCUAGAAAAGCAGUGGAAAACCUAGGGAAGAUUCUUACUAAUAAAGCACACUUUCAUAAGAAAAUCUGCUCUCCAAGGAAGAUCAGGGACAAGAUUAUACAGACAACCAGGACAAAAAUCAGUAGACAAGAAAAACUUCAGAAAUACUUAGUCUGUGGUUACUGUCUAAGAAUUAACUAUUUUUUUAUUUUUUAUUUUUUUGUUAAGACAGAUAUCAGGUCACUUUUUGAGACCAAUCACAGCUGCAGCUAUACCUGGAGUAGGACCUUGCUUUGGUUCUUCAUGAUUGCUAUAUCUAAAGUACAGCAGGAUGCAGCCAGAUAUGUCAAACUGCCCUUGUUUUCAACCAGGUAUUAGAUUCACAACUUCCUAAUGUAAAGAAAAAAAAAAAUUAUCUGUACUUUUGAAGACUGAAUUCAUCUCCAGGUAAUACAAAUGAGAAACGGUGCUCUUCCCCACAGUAAUAGGAUUGCAAUCAAGCUCUCAAUGUGAUUUACAAACUCUGUAGUGUUAACCAAUUACUUGCUGGUCAGCCAAUAACAAUGACUGAAUCAUCUUUUGCUUCAGAAAAGGAUCACUGCGCACAAGUUGGAGAAUCUCACAGCACUGCCUUCAAACCAUUCCUACUAAAUAAGACACUGCACUUCUCUGUCGAAAGAUACUAUAUGGUAUUUUAGCCCAAGAAACUUAUGUCAGGAUCUAUAAAAACAACUGGGAACAUGCAGAAUAAUUGAAUCUUAAAUGAUUGUGUAUAAUGUGUCUGCAUUUAUAUUUCAGCAUUUAAAUGCGUUUCAAUACUUUGGUGUGUGAAAGGGUUAAACAAUAACAGAUUUCCUGUGCUAAACAGCUUAAUGAAAAACAUUCAGGGUGCUUUUUUAGAACAACAGACUCAUACUGCAAAAUGAUAAUCUUUGGUAUGUCCUUUUUUUUUUUCUUUUUCACAAGUAACAAUAUAGGCGAGACAGACUUUGCUAUAAUUCUUCCUAAUUGCUCUAAUGCAUUUCAUUUUAUUUUAGUGUUUUCAGUUUAUAAAAACAGUUAGCAUCAGUUUGUUUCCAGUUUUAAUGGAGAUAAACUCCUUCUUUUCCCCCUGAAAAAAAUUCACAAUAUGGUUGGAAAUGUCAGCAAUAAUUAGACAAAAUGCUUGUGAAACAUAAAAUAAAAACAAUACGUCUUUUUAUAAUGGAAUCAGUUUGUCUGAUUAUCUCAAACAAUGUACAUUUCCAACUGCCCAGGAGGGUCAUUAGAGCUUAUGAAAAUCAAAGUCUGCUUUUUCUGCUUCAGACAUCAUGGACAACAAUAUUGUCUCCAGGAUCAUUAUAAAUAUAUGUUAGACUUUCUUGAACUACAGUGAACCUGAAGCAUGAAAUGCAUUUAAAGAUAAAAACAUCAGGGGAAAAAAAAAAGAACAAAUGAAAAACAAAACAAAAAAGCAAACAAAUAAAUCCACUUUGUGUUAUUAACUAAAUAAGUGUUACAUAGAAAUUAUAGUUGGAUACAUAACCUCGCUGAAUACAGUACUCAAGGGACCUUGGUUCUAUUCUGUCAUCAGUCACAGAUUUCCAGUAUAACCUCAGAAAAGUCAUUUCCUACCCUAUGCACAAUGAGGGCUAUUUGUCCCUUAAAGAGAUGGUUGUGACAGAGCUCCCUUCUGAGUUCCUGUCUAGGUGUGAAGUCUAAUUCAAGAAGUUUCUGUUAUUCCUUUGAGAUACACUCAGAGAAUAGACAAGAGUAUCACUUCUACCUUUUUUCCCAUUUGUAGAAAUGGGGCUAAUAUUCUCUUGCUCUCACUGGAGAGUUUAUGGAUACAAUCCAUUAGUGUGUGAGAGGCAUUCAGAUACCAUGAUGACAAGGACCAUUUAGCAAGUAAAUAUCUGGAUGGAGUAGGAGGAAUUCAGCUGCUGUUACCACAUUACAUUACAAAUAGUUUAGGACAAAAGACAAACGGGAAGUCUGAUAAGUUUAUCGUAUGAUCAGUUAUAGUCAUACAACAAUUCUGCACUCAAGGAACCUGGAAAGCUGUUUCAAAAAUGAAGUUUCCACCUGUUUAGUUUGUUUACCAAUAAGUGUGGCAGUAUGCCUAUUCUGCCCAGUGGUUUAAGCACUUUUCUCCUGCUCAUACAUGCUGGGUUUUCAGUCUUCAAUUGCAUCUUUCAGAUUCAGCAGCAGUGUCACACGGCAAGAUGGAAUUCUAGGGAUGCUGCUGCGUUGUUUUGGAUGGGAUCCUACUAUAUCAGCUGCCAAAGUGCCCAAGGAAAAACUGAAACUUACAGGAAAAUUAUAGCGACAUGAAGAAAUUUCAUUAAAAGUGACAUGUUCUAAACCUUUUAGAAAUACAAAAAUCUGUUGAAGAUCCCAAGAUGUGUGUAGAAAAUGUGGGUAAGAAAAGAAAAUGCAUUACUAAACUAAUCUAAAACCAAAGCAGGUAUUUCUCUGCUAUAGUAUUGCUACACAUAUGCUCUUGUUAGUACAAGCAAAUGCUUACCAAUAAUGAACAAUCUCUGUUGGUUGCAAUGCUCAAGCACAAAUUAAACAAUGCUAAAAACUAUUAUUAAAGCACAUGAAGGAAUUAAUACAUAAAAUCCUUCUGCUACUUCAAAUUCACAGCAAAGCGAUUCCUCUCAGCUAAGCCAUCAGUACAAUGUACAGAAGCCUAUUUUUAGGAAUGGUUAAGGGAACAUACUUUCCAUGGAUCUCCAUGUAUUUCAAGCCUACUAAGGGUACAACCCAUCCUAUCAGAGUAGGUUUAUUUGGAGGAGGAGGACAAGGAUCCCUGCUCACACUGCCUCCCAUGGCAUGAGAAAUGAGAAUAUUCUCGACAUCCCAGUAGCAAUAGGAGUAGAUAUGAUCCACUGUAAAAUCCUGUGAGCUUCAUUAUCAGUUUCAGAUGAGGGUUCUGUUUGUAAUUAGCAGAAACCAAACCAAUGAAGUAGUAUUUGGUUUUCUUUUGUGUGUUUUGCUCUCCAACAGUUGCUGAACACUUCAUUUUAGUCCACCAAUUCCUCAGCUAGUGACACAGCCCAGUCAGGGUCACAGGCCCAAAAUGUAUUCCACCUCUAUGCUCACCUGUCUCUUAAGCAGGGAAAUUAAAAUUCAUUGUCAAAAUAAGCAGAGAUUUUGCAGAUUGAAACAAGAGAGGAAUAGCACUUCUCUCUCUUGUGUCUUCUACAGUGUAACACAGCAGAGAAAGUAAAGCCCAGGGAAAAACAAAUUAGAGUGACCCCAAUGUCCUGAAGACAAUAUUUUCAAGCUUCAUCAUUGAAAUAAAGAUUUGAGAAAUCACCAAUCAACAGCUCAAAUCCACCAGAAGCAGAACGUCAAGUUUGGGCCCACAUGCAGAUUCUCACAUGAGGCUUUCACAUGGCAAGCUCCAUUUCUUCUAAAUUUUUCACUAUCAAAACUACUUCGAUGAAAUCAGAGUCAGCUGAAGAGAAAAAGGCAAAUCCUUCCGGGAUGAGGAAGAAACAGAAGGAAAAGAGAAGAGAAUUGAGAUGGAAAAUACAUUCUUGUCUCCAGAAAUAAGCAAGGCUCCCCAGAAUUUGGAGAUUAUGCAGUCACAGUUACCACAGCAAACGUAUUCUGAGCCGUGUCUUGGACCAUCCCAUUAAAGAUUUUCAAAUACACAACUAUAGGACUGCUUGCAAGAGGGCUGCAUAUUUGAAAUUUGUUUAAAUGCUAGUGUUAUGGAAAGCAUAAUCGGUACAGAUAUACCAAAACUGAGUCUGUAAAACAGAAAAUAAACCUUGCCAUUUGCCAUUUAGAGGCAGUUUAAAACAAGGUCUUUGACUUUGGACUGUACCUGGCAGGUUAGAGAUUCACUAGAUGUGCAGAAGAUGCAGCAAACUGAGAUCAUAGACUAAUGAUUUAGAUUUAAGAUUUAAACUAUAUCUCAUUGUCAUUGAGAUAACAUAAUAACUGAAUUAAAAAAAAAAAAAAACUGGCUUUUGUCAGUGCAAAAAUUAAGCUCUUGUGCUUGCCUCAGUAAUGAAAUAUACAACAUCUCUUGUUGUCCUUACCUUUGAACUGCAGAUAACUGUACAGCAAUGUUACAGGACAGAGAUACACUUGUGAAAUAUUCACGAGCUGAUGUCUUUGCAGCCCCACGGGACCAGUGAAGAGCUCUUUUUUCCCCCACAUCUCUCUCUCAGACUUUAAAUAAUGAGGAGCAGAAAAGGUAUGAGACAACAUGUCUGUGUGUCUCCUUUGAAAUCUUUUCUUACAUUACCUUGUUAUCUGUGCUCAAGAGCAGCAGGUAUUCCAGCAGUUCAGAGUGUAUCCACAGCAAAAACACCCAGCAAAAUAGACUACCAGUCGACACAGCUUUCAGUUCCUGGUCCAGUCGGCAAAACACAAAACUAAUACAUAGGGGAGUGCCAGCCUGGCUGAGGCUAGAGGGGAGUGAAGGCAGAAUUUUUGCCAACCAGUGAUUUAGGAAAAUAUAUAUUAUUCAUCCUGGAAAACAACCUAAUGCACUGUUUCCUACUCUGUGCUCUGAAAGUGCCUUCAUAUGGAAAGCUAUUAAACUUCUAUAUGUUUUUAGCAUUACAGCGUGGAUCAAAGCCUGACCACCCCAGGCAGAUGAGAGUGUCAGAUCCCUCCACCAGUCAGGAGGAUUUGGAUCAGUGUUUUCACUUUAGCCGUCAGUGGUGAAGAAAUCCAUCCAGACCUGAAUUUGGAGUUUUUCCUAUGCUACAGUACUGUGCAUUGGGAAAGACCAUCCUGAACUUACUAUGGGUGGAAUUCCACUUGUUUCUACCACUCUAAGUCAGGCUGGAGCAUGGACAAGAAUUAAAUCAGACCAGACUUAUCAGGGGAAUUCACCUUGUCAUCAAGGCAAACGUAACACUUUUUUUUUUUUUUUUUUUUUUUGAGGAGGCAUCACAUUUUAAAUUUCAAGUGCUGUAAGUCUUCUAACCCCCUUUUUUUAUUCCUUCUGUGAUACAAAAAUGCUUAUAUAACAGGUAUUUUCCCACACCAGCCUUAAAAGCCCUUAUUUCCUUUCUUUUUUUAUUUCAACAGACUAAUAGUCAUUGCAACACAGGUGACAGUAAAUCAAAUCAAGUUGAAAUGUCGGCCUGACUCAUUCUCAGACGAUAUAUGAUUUGUUUGCAUUGCAUUAUCUUGGAAACCCAUAGCCAGUGUGCACUAACUACAUGUCUGCACAUGGCAAGAAGAUAAACACCCUUAGCCAGUAAUAUAAAAUCUAAAUAAAAUUACAAUCAGGUUUGUAUACUAGGAUAGCUUUGUAACACCCAUGGGGCAUUACUCUUAUCAUUAGAAUUAUUUGCAUUAGAGCAGUGUCCAAAGAUCCUGCCUAUGAUCAGGUUCAAAUUGUGCUAGGCUCUGGAAAACAUGGGAAGAGACAAAAAUUCUGAAUGUUAAAUAGAUAAUUACAUGCAAAGGGUGUGAGAAAGAAAGGAUGGCUAUCAUUAUUUUGUAGAGAACUUAGGUGUGGAGAUUACAUUUUUGCUACAUUCUAAGCAUAGGUGCAAAGCAAUGCUGAAGUACAAGUCUGAUUUGCAUGUUCUUUGCACACCAUAACAUGUGUAGGUUACCACGGCUUUGUGGAAAUACUGAUAACAGUGGGAGAGAAAGCUUGAGUCUUCCAUCUCCAGCCACACACAUGGGCAGCUGGAAACGGGUGGCUAGGCUUUUCGCCUGAGGCAACAGCCACGCAUCCUGUCAUGCUGUCCUCUGACACUAUUUGAGUGCUGAUCAGACACGCCUGCCCAAGUUGUUCCCAUAAAGGCUUAGAGCCCUGCAACACAGGAUAGAUGGGCAGGAGAGUUACAGGAACGCCAAGCCCAGAGUCAGAUACCUGAAUGGAUGCCCAGACAACAUGAGUGGGUUUUUUGUUUAUUUUUUCUUUUUCCUCUCUUGGGCAGACCACAUGUUUUCUGUAAAGUCAUAAAAAAAUCUAAGUGGUGCUAAGAACCAGUCACCUCACUCCAGUUUGGCAUUUGCAAAUUCACCAUUCCUCUCUAAGGUAACAGCUGCUGGAACUACACCAGCAACUUCUUCAAAAAACAGGACAAGUGGUCUUUCAGUGGUGAAAGAUCUGCUGAACUCAAAGGAAGCUGCAUCUGGAGUAACAUUUCAAUGUAUACGCUGUGCAUGCUUACAAGUUUUAUGAUUACAGAAACAGCCAGCACAAUGCUGGGCUGACGAAAGAGGGGGUGGAUGUUUAGAUGCUGCUGUUUCACUUCAUGUUGGCAGGGAUAUGGAAAUUAUGAAGUGAUAAGGAGAGAUGUAAGAGGGAGGAGAAGGCAUGAGUGAUUGAUUAUGUGCUUAAUUAAGCAAUGUUGGCCACAUCAAGUUGUAGUGAAGUCUCUGUACAUCUGUAGCAUGCUUUUAGUCCCAGGCAAUAAAUUGGCUACCUGCCUCUGAAUGGACAGUGAGGGGAAAAUACUUUUGAAGGUAGAAAUGUUGGCUAUCCAGAAGCGAUGGAUGGUUACUUACUAUUUUUUUUUGUCUUUGAAGACUGUAUAUUAUCAGUUAACAUAAUGAACUCACCAAGUGGUCCAGUAACCCACGGAAGUAAUUCUACUUAGAUCACUGAAAUAAAAGGCAGGAGCAAGGCUUUCAGACUUAGGCCUCAAACAAAAACUAACAUUCAAGGAUAGCAAGCUUUUCCUCCUGUUUAAGCUCCUUUAAUAAAAAUGCAAAUAUUGCUUUCUUAACCACAAUAGGAACUCUAGUCAUUAUUUUUCAAUACUAAUGUUAGUGUUUUCCUAUAACUUCUGUUGUGCUGUAAUUCUAGAGGCCCAUGUCUAAUCCCAUAUGUAAUGUGUUUAUUAGAUGUAAUAUUUUAUCUCUUGGAUACAGUUUCUGACACUAUCAUUUUGUUCUUAUUUCAAUAAAACUGAUUUCCUUCCUUCUCACCCUGACAGGAUGCAUUGAAUUUCUUUAUCACAGAAGAAAGUUAGAAAGGUUCUCCCAUAAAAGACAAAAAUGGACUGCAUGUAGUGUGGCUUAAUUUAAUUUAUCUCAUAAAGUCCAGACCAAAUAAAGUAACUUUAUAAUAUUAGAUACGGCCAGAAUUGAGCUGGGAUUCUUUUGUUGUUGUUGUUUGUUUUUAAUAUAUGGUUAUCUAGUCUCAGUAAAUCUGUAGCUCAUUGGCUUCACCACCUGUAUCCUUCUGAACACAGAAUGAAACAGUACCAAAUGCUCAUGCAAUUUCUGAUUUUCUUUGGGAAUUCACUAUCUGUGUGCUUUAAUCAAGUGAUAAUAUGUAGGAACCAUUCCAGCUUUCAGCUGACAAAAGCACAAUAUUAGUUGUUUGAUGAGAACUCCUCUAUGGAUACAAAUUCCACAUGGAUUUUCCCAGGCUUUGUAAAUUUAUUAAAAAAUAAUAUAUUCUAUACACAAUUAGAACAUGAAUGUUAAAAGAGUAAGUAAAGUAAUUUGUUGGGAAUGUGAAAUCAUCUAGAAAAGAAAGAUGUUUUCGUAUAAUUUUAGCUGUCACAUAAUAAUUUGCAAAACACAGAAGGCAUUUGAAACCUUUGGUAUCCAGAUCCAGAUUCCCAGUAGAAAAGUAUUCCUUUCAGGCUACCUUCUGGAAUAAAGGUCUUCUUUAUCUCCUUUAUCAUAUUGGUAGUGUUUCACUAAACAGACAGUCAGAAGCUGCUGUUGAAUAGGGAAGCUGGAAAACGCUCAUCUUAUUUCAUAUUCAUUUUCCACACCUUGUCAACAACUGCACAGCUCACCACUGAAGCUGCAUUUCAUGCAAUGCAUCCAAAGGUUACAACUUAUAGGUCAGAGAUGGGAAUUUUCACUUCGCAAUCACUGGGCAGCUGAGACUCCAUACAUUACUGUGGUGACAGGUAUAGUACGCAGUGAUGAACCUUCUGUCAGUCAGACAGAGGUCACAUUGGUAUCAGUUACUAACAUACCCCUCUCCUAGCUUAAAAAAAAAAAAAAAAAAAAAAAAAAAAGGAAAAUUAAAAAAAGUCUAUUUUUUUUCUUCUUGUGGAAAAUGGAAACAGAGUUGAUGUUCACUAAUGUCAAGUGGCAGGAGAUUUAGAGCCCCAGAGCUCAGGAGGUCUCCUGUAGCUGUGCUGGCAGUACUUUCAGCACCAACAUAAAUCGCCGCCUGAACUGAAACCCACAAAAGCUGUUCCAGAAGAAACUACAACAGCCACGUAAACAUGUACUGGACAGGAAACAAUGAACUCCAACCUGGUACUGGAGAAUCCAAAAUAAGAGCAUGUCAACUUCCUGGUCAUAGCUAUUUUAUUUUUUUUCGUAUUUAGCAUCACUUACACAAAAACAGUUAAAAAUUAUUACCUUAGCAGACAGUCAGAUUUUUAGUUUUUGUAAUGAGGUGGCUGAAUCUCACAUUAAAGAGGAAGCUGUAACACAAAUAAGAGGAAGUGAAUAAGUACUUAAGAUGUACCUUCAACUCCGUAAUUUUAACGCUUUCAUGAAGAGAUCAGAAUACAAAAUCUAUCAUCAUUAAUUAUAUCCUGUUAUACCAUCCUUGUGUUCUUUGCCAAAUAAAUGCCAUAACACAUCAGAUAACAACAGAAUAUUUACAUUACAAAGGUUAAAGGAUCAUGCUAUCUGUAGCUAGGUCAAAGUAUUUUGGUCAACUGCAAUAAAAUUUUGUCUGAAGGUCCCCAGAGGUUAAUGCGAUCACUGAACUUCACAGUCAGUUUAUGAAUAAGACCUUAAAAGAAUAUUCCUAAGUUCCUGCAUUUUCCUACUUGUGGUACUUGAACAUCCACAAGCAAAUACUGGCCUUCCUAAACAAGACAGUUGGAUGACACAUUUUUUUUGUGUCAAAAAGGAAGCCCUUCUUCCCCUCAAAAAAAAAGAAAAAAAAAAAAAACCUAGCAUAAAGCAGACUCUAUACACAUGGAAUAAAUUGAUUUUACCAAGGCUAAAUUUGUCUAGUGGAGCCUAUACUUGAGAUCAUUCAAGCGCUCUCUUGAGUUAUCUCAUUGUAGCAGAGUUUGCAGGACAGGGCCUUGAAUUUGUUUCUGCCAUACAAAGUUGAUAUAUAAGAAGACAGGAUUUAAUUGAAACAUCUUGAAAGAG
ensembl:lncRNA